rnacentral:tRNA from 2 species
GUUCUUUUAGUAUAAUAAAGUACAGUUGCCUUCCAAGCGAUUAGUUUAAAGAAGUUUAAAAAGAGUA